rnacentral:lncRNA from 1 species
GAAACUAGUUCAAGUGGAAGAAAACAUUAUACAUUGAAAGAUCUUCAUCAGUUGCAAGAACAUGUCUCUGAUAAACCCAAAACUCUUCCAGCAUUCUUUCUGAAUCGUAUCUAUCAGCAUGGGACACCAUGGCAGUAUGGCUCUUUGUGCCUUUGGAUUCAACGCAUCCUUUGCGAUUUUUUUUAUACCGCAUCUCAUUAGUAGCAAUCACCACUCUGAUAUGUCAACUUAAAGUACGUAUAAAUUCCUUUUAUCAAAUAUAUAUCCACGAAAAUUCGAUUAGGAUGGUUUCUACAACAAGACCAUUUGUAUCCAUUUGAUUUUUUAUAUUAUAUAGGUAUAUGUUUCAGCAGUAUAUGUAGCUUAACAUUAAUUUACUUUCUCUGUCUUAGUUAACAAUUAUAAUGCAUAGUUAGAUUAAGUGUAUAUGAAGCUUCAUGGAAACCCGUACGAGAGAUCAGGACGGUCACUAGAUUGUACAAUCAAGAACUUAGUAUAUGUACACACACACAUAUAUAUAUAUAUCAAUUAAACAAAACCGUACGUUCUAAUUACUUAAUUUUAUGAAAUCAAGAAUCUAAUCUUAUAAGAAAAUCUGCAGGCCUGUUGCCAGAAUAAACAUGGACCCAUGUUCUCUAUGUCCUACGAUGUGUAUCAAAUCUUAAUUCACUUCUUUGUUGCACUACAUUUUAAAAUGAUUUAUUCUAUAUAUAUAUUUAUUCUCAUUGAGAUGUCCAUUGCCCCUGCUGCAAUAGACAUUACAGCUCAUUGAUUCUUAUAAUUCAAACUUUAUUUUUCUUUCUAAUUAAUCAGUUAAUUAUCUACUCAUAUUUGGGUAAUAGUCGUUGAAACUAUCUAUACAUGUAAAUUUAAGUAAAUUAUAUAAAUAUUAAUGUUUGUAUUCCUAAAGAUGCAUGCAUGUAUACAAGUUCGAACAUCCAGACUAUGUUGACCUA